AGUGAACGCUGGCGGUAGGCCUAACACAUGCAAGUCGAACGGCAGCACAGUAAGAGCUUGCUCUUACGGGUGGCGAGUGGCGGACGGGUGAGGAAUACAUCGGAAUCUACUUUUUCGUGGGGGAUAACGUAGGGAAACUUACGCUAAUACCGCAUACGACCUACGGGUGAAAGCAGGGGAUCUUCGGACCUUGCGCGAUUGAAUGAGCCGAUGUCGGAUUAGCUAGUUGGCGGGGUAAAGGCCCACCAAGGCGACGAUCCGUAGCUGGUCUGAGAGGAUGAUCAGCCACACUGGAACUGAGACACGGUCCAGACUCCUACGGGAGGCAGCAGUGGGGCAUUUUGGACAAUGGGCGCAAGCCUGAUCCAGCCAUACCGCGUGGGUGAAGAAGGCCUUCGGGUUGUAAAGCCCUUUUGUUGGGAAAGAAAAGCAGCAGGUUAAUACCCCGCUGUUCUGACGGUACCCAAAGAAUAAGCACCGGCUAACUUCGUG
rnacentral:rRNA from 1 species